rnacentral:rRNA from 1 species
UACGGAGGGUGCAAGCGUUGUCCGGAAUCACUGGGCGUAAAGGGCGCGUAGGCGGCUCGGUAAGUAGGGGGUGAAAUCCUGCGGGCUCAACCGCAGGGCUGCCUUCUAAACUGUCGAGCUCGAGCACGGUAGAGGCAGAUGGAAUUCCCGGUGUAGCGGUGGAAUGCGUAGAGAUCGGGAAGAACAUCAGUGGCGAAGGCGGUCUGCUGGGCCGUUGCUGACGCUGGAGGCCGCGACAGCGUGGGGAGCGAACAGG